UGCUGAGCGUCGACCAUAACCCUUGGCAUC
rnacentral:piRNA from 1 species